ensembl:lncRNA
GAUAGGAUGACUCUAAAACUGACGACACAGAAACCCCAAAGGAGCCGAUAGCAAGUACAAGUCAAGAAAACAAAGAUGACGACCUCCCCGUGCCCGAUGACGCUGAGAAAGCGACGCCCACUGGGGCGGUGCAGGCGCUGCCGUCAUGCCAAACGCAGAGCGACAGCGGCGGUGCUGCAGAGGAAGAAGAAACGCUGAUCCACGCAGCAUCAAGCAAACCGGCUGCUGGACACGCUACCAAGUCUCUUUCUUCAGCGUCUUCGUCGAUGGCGUCCUCUGGGUCCUUAACGCUGUCCCCCGGUCGAGCAAAGAUGAGUGUUAGCGGCCCCUCUGGGAGUAAAUCCUCUCCUCCGCUCGCUCCAUCCUCCUCUCCUUCCACUUCUGCCUCCCCGUCUGUUUCCCCUGGCCCGCCCAAGAUCCACCGGGCCCGCAAGACCAUGAGCAAACCUUCUAUCGGGCAGCACACGAGUUUUGGAGAAACUGCUUCAGCAUCCCAGACCCCGUCAGGAUCUCCCCGCCUCAUUUCUGACCCUGAAAGCGCGGUCUUAAAAAAGAGGAAGCUGGGUCAUUUAUCAGACAGCCGGUGUGAAAACAUUCCAGAUCAUUCUCAGACUGAUGAGACGUUGUUUCAUAAGAAGGCAGAAGCUGCUGUGGUGAAAAGCAAAAGGAAGAGCGGAGAUGAAGGAGGAGAACGGAGCCACAGCUCCACUCCAUCGGCUCAAGAUCCUGGAAACUUUCAAAACGGAGUCAAUGCAAACGAGCGAUCGAAUGAAACUGAGGAGCAUUGUUUAGAGACUGAAACGCCGAAAAGCGUCCGGAAUGACGGCGAGGAGUCUUCGUGGUCGCUGUCAGGUCGGGGCAGAAAGAGAAGCUCUGCUGACCUGGCGGAGACGGAGGAAGAAGAACGAGCCGACGAAUACACCGAGGUUCCUUUGGGUGACCUGGACCUCGCAGCUGCUGACAGUCUGACUCUGUCCCCUCCUCCUGAAGGAAGCGACGCCGGCGACACGGAGCGGCUGGAGGAGCUUCCUCUCUGCAGCUGCAGGAUGGAAGCUCCUCGGAUCGACAGCAGCGGCCAGCGCAGCAGCAGACAGUGCAUGGCCACGGAGAGCAUCAACGGAGAGCUGCGGGCGUGCACCAGCUGGACGGUGAAAGGCGAGACCAUGCGACCGUCCAGCCGCGUCUCCCUCAUGGUGCUCUGCGACGUCCAUCGCUCACACAUGGUCAAACACCACUGCUGUCCGGGCUGUGGGUACUUCUGCAUCGCAGGCACGUUUCUGGAGUGCUGUCCCGACCAGCGCAUCGCGCACCGCUUCCACCGCGGCUGCGUGACCGUGCUGAGCAGCGGGCGCAGCCGCGCCAACGGCGGCGGCAUGAUCUUCUGCCCCCACUGCGGGGAGGACGCCUCGGAGGCCCAGGAGAUCACCCUCCCGUCCUCCAGCGCCGCCGCCACCGUCGUCACCAUGUCCGCCUCCUCCACCACCACGCCGUCCGCUCGGAUGCAGAGCCACGGCCUGUUCACGCUGACGGUGGAGCAGCCGCCGCAGUCGGCCGCCGCCGCCGCCACCGGAGUGGAUAGCGUGGGGCCGUCGCUAUGCAUGCCGAACGGGAAGCCGGUCUGCCCGAGCGCGCUUCCGCCUGGAACCAGCAGGGCGGCGCUGCAGAAAGCAAUUCUGACCCAGGACUCAGAGAGGAGGAAGAAGUUGAGGUUUCACCCUCGACAACUCUAUCCAGCCGCCAAGCAAGGGGAGGGGCAAAGAGUUCUGCUGAUGCUGAUGGAGGGAAUCGAUCCCACGUACCAGCCGGACUCCCAGAAUCGGCGCUCCGCUCUACACGCUGCAGCUCAAAGAGGUUUACUGGAGAUCUGCUACAUGCUGAUACAGGCCGGCGCCAACGUGGACGCCAAGGACAAAGAAAUGAGGACUCCUCUGCUGGAGGCCGUCAUCAACAACCACGUGGAGGUGGCCCGCUACCUGGUCCAGAGCGGAGCCUGCGUCUAUCACGUCGAGGACGACGGAUACACCGGCCUUCACCACGCCGCCAAGCUGGGGAACCUGGAAAUCGUUAACAUGCUUCUGGAGACGGGCCAGGUGGACGUGAACGCACAGGACAACGGGGGCUGGACGCCCAUCAUCUGGGCUGCCGAGCACAAACACGUGGAGGUGAUCAAGGCUCUGCUGAACCGAGGAGCAGACGUCUCCAUCACGGAUAAGGAGAUGAACGUUUGUCUCCACUGGGCGGCGUACGCGGGAAGUGUGGACAUCGCCGAGAUGGUGUUGAACUCCGGCUGCUCGCUCGCCUCCGUCAACGUCCACGGCGACACGCCGCUGCACAUCGCCGCCAGGGAGGGAUACCUGGACUGUGUGACGUUGUUCCUCAGCAGAGGUGCAGACAUCGACAUCAUGAACAAAGAGGGGGACACGCCGCUCAGCCUGGCCCGGGCCGACACCCCCGUGUGGGUGUCGCUCCAGAUCAACAGGAAACUACGGCGAGGAAUUACAAACCGUCUCCUCCGGACCGAGAGAAUCAUAAGCCGGGACAUCGCCCAAGGCUACGAGAACGUGCCCAUCCCCUGCGUGAACGGCGUGGACGAGGAGGGCUGCCCGUCCGACUACAAAUACGUUUCGGAGAACUGCGAAACAUCGGCCAUGAACAUCGACCGGAACAUCACGCACCUGCAGCACUGCGGCUGCACGGACGACUGCUCCUCCAGUAACUGCCUCUGUGGGCAGCUCAGCAUCCGGUGCUGGUACGACAAGGACCAGCGGCUGCUGCAGGAGUUCAACAAGAUCGAGCCUCCGCUCAUCUUUGAGUGCAACAUGGCGUGCUCCUGUUACCGCAGCUGCAAGAACAGAGUGGUUCAGGCCGGCAUCAAAGUCCGGCUGCAGCUCUACAGGACGGAGAAGAUGGGCUGGGGGGUCCGAGCUCUGCAGGACAUCCCCCAAGGGAGCUUCAUCUGCGAGUACGUCGGAGAGCUGAUUUCUGACGCCGAGGCCGACGUCCGAGAAGACGACUCCUACCUGUUCGACCUGGAUAACAAGGACGGGGAGGUGUACUGCAUAGACGCCCGUUACUACGGCAACAUCAGCCGCUUCAUCAACCACCUGUGCGACCCGAACCUCAUCCCGGUGCGGGUCUUCAUGCUGCACCAGGACCUGCGCUUCCCGCGCAUCGCCUUCUUCAGCUCGCGGGACAUCCUGAGCGGGCAGGAGCUGGGGUUCGACUACGGCGACCGCUUCUGGGACAUCAAGAGCAAGUACUUCACCUGCCAGUGCGGCUCGGAGAAAUGCAAACACUCGGCCGAGGCCAUCGCCCUGGAGCAGAGCAGGCUGGCCCGGCUGGAGGCCGGAUCGGAGUCGGGGGGCGACUGCGGGGCGAUGAUGGGGAGCUCGUGAGGCGCGAGGUUCAUGUUUGACUCUCUAAGCUGCCACUUUAUCCUCCCACCUGCAGUAAAGCUGGACUUUUAUCAAAUGUUUGGGUUUCAGCCUCUUUCACUCAUUUCAGUUGUUUUAUUUCGUGCCACCUCAUCGUCCCGGGACCACGUGAAGCCUUAACCCGGACAGACUUGUUAGGACUCGUGUGCUCGUCGAUUGUCUUGUAUUGUUAGCAUUUCAUCUUUAUUUUUAUAUUCCUGAGUAAUAAAAAUAUUGAAAGUUGUUUUGGUUUCA